CUCGCUGGCCUUCCUGCUCUGUUCUCCCUCUCUCACAGCUCUAUAGAGACCAGUUGGACAGUCUCUGCCGGCUCCAGCUUUAGAGUUAGGAGGUGGUGACAUGCCCCAUGGCUGAAGGACUAGCCUUUUUUAUCUUAUUUUACUUAGAUUUUGUUGUCAUUUUGUUUCUAAGACAGGGUCUCUCUACAAAAGCCUGACUGUCUUCAACUUACUAUGUAAACCAGGCUAGCCUUGAACUCACAGAGCACUACCUACCUCUCUCCUCAGAUAAAAGAGAUGCACCACUACACCUCGGUCCUGAAAGAUUAGUUUUAAGGAGAAGUAAUAAUGGAUGUAUGUUGGCUUUCUUUGUUACAUUUUAAUUAAAUGCCAAUCUCUUUACCUUAGAGAUUCUUAAGUUUGGUUGGGGGUAUGUUCAGUUGAGAGACUGACUCCCAGAGUGAUUUUGAGACCAUCCUGUCCCUCCACAAAACAAUAAUAAUUUAUUAAUAAUUACUAUACCUUUAGUAUUAUUCUGCUGUGUUGUUUCAUUAAUAAUUCAGAUGGAUUUUAGGGAGAAUCUGUAACAACAUUUACAAUGAUACAUACAAUUUUUAUUGCAGGUAUGUAUAAAGAUGCAUAAAAUCCUUUCACAAGUGAACGGAGAACUAGGAAAUGCAAGGUCAGAAAAAAAAAAUAGAAACCACCACCACUCAAUCUACUCCAGAAUACACCCCGAGUGCUCUUUCCUCUUGGGCUCUGUCUCUGGGUUGCACACAGAACUUUGAUUCAUGGGACACAGCUUUCACACUCAGCCAUGAGGAAACAUGAGUCAGCAUAGCAGGAGAAAGGACCCCAGCAUCACUCAGCUCAAGCCCCACAUUAGCUGGGUCGCCCUCUAAUCCACCUGUACUGCUAGCAAAGGGAUCCGAUGCUAGAGUGUAUGUGUAGCCAAUUUACAGAUCACAAAAUAUAUGGCUACUGGCACCUAUGAAAAGAAAUGCUGAUGGGUUUCCACUAGCUAGUUAUAAUUAAAUGAACAAUUAUGGAAAUAAUUAUAAUUACAUGAGUAUUUGCAUCUUUUCUCCAACCAUAUACUUACAAAGAAAAAUUGACAUACUUUGGAUCCCUGACAAUUACCAGGCAUUUUUGUGUUUUCAUUAUCUCACUUAAUCCCUGAAAUAAUGUUCGGCUUUGUAUUUAAUGCUAUAGUUACCACCACCACCCCAACCAUCACUCCCAACACUCACCUUUUUAAUUUUUGAGGAAAGAAACCCAGAGAGACUCAAAUGUCUAAGGCCACCCAGCUAACGAACAUCAGAUUUUUAUUUCGGAUAAAGUUCCUUCUUUGAAGAGAGGAUAUUAGGAAAGGAGGGAAUUAUGUUCAGAUUUGGGUAGAUUUAAGUCUGUGCAUUUUGCACAAAGUAUGGGAGUUUAGAAUAGAGCACCUGCCUUGUGACACGCAAUAUUCUCAUUAUUUUUUGAUAGGCAGCUCUCUUUAACCCACUCUCUUUUCAUUUUCUCUGUGGUUCAGGUCAGUAGCACCUUAACUCAAAUUUAUACACGUAGUUCCUUAUUUGGUAGCAACUAGUUUAUGUAGCUAACAUCUAACUACACUGGUGAGGUCCUUCAGAAACUGACAUCUGGACCCAUGUCCCCCACUCCUGCAACCCCUUCCAGAAACCUUUUGUGGCAGUGGCCACCAUCUCCAGAAGCUACUGGAUGCUCAGGCUGAGAGCUCUCCGCAUAGCAAGCCAUCCCAUCCACAGUGACUACGAAUGAUCCCGUUUGGUCUCAACCCUCCUAAUUCUUGACCCUUUAACAAUACAGCUCCUCAUGUCGUGCUGACCCCAACUAUAAAACUAUUUCUGUAGCUACUUUAUAACUGUAAUUUUGCCACUGUUGUCAAUGGUAACAUAAAUGUUUUUUGGAGAUCGAGGUUUGGUGGCAGGGUUGCGGCCCACAGGUUGAGAACCACUGGUCUACAGGAUCAAGUUGCUGAAGGAAAGAAAGUAACUCGGGUUCCUCUUGCUGUGCUCUGAAUCCGGGGCGUGCCGAAGCAGCCAGUGAAGCUCUGUCUACUUUCUUCUAAGUCUCUCCUGUGACUUCAGUUUUGGAACGGGGACGGUUCUCCAGGUUUGUCCCCUUAGUAUAAAUACAGAAUAGCAAGCCUGGAAUAACAGCUUGUGGAAGCUCCAGAAAGCAAGCCGACCUUUGCUCUUGACAUUUAAUUAUGUUGUAAUUAUGUCUAGAGAAUGAGUAGCACAGAGAAUGAGCUUCUGGAGGACAAGGUAAGGAGCCAAACAAACAGCAACCACAGCAAGCGUGGAACACAGUGCCGUCUUUCCUCAAAACCAGGAGCAAUGUGCUUCUCCAUCAGUUUCUGGGACUUCUACGUGGACGGACUGAUGGGACGAGUUUUUAAAGGAUGCUUAUCGGUAUGUCUGAGGUUUAGGAAAAACAGACUUGAACCGGGUGCCUUAGGUUUGGAGUUCAGCUGAAACCAAGUCGCAUCAACAAUGUGUCUUUGUGCUGCUGUGCAAGAAUGCCAUAGACUGGUGCAACGAAGUGAGCUGCUUUGUCCCACCACAAGGUCCCUUCCAUAGUGCUCUGUGUUGCCACAGGCACCAACACAACAGACCCAAGCAACCAAUGGUCUGAAACCACUGAACCUAUGUAGCAAAAUACGUCUUUAAAGUUGACUUCAAAUGGUGUUUUGUCACAGUGACAGAACACUAGCACAGUCUAAGACACCGGAGACCUACCAUUUCUCCCCGCGAGCAUCUCCACCGUUCAGUCUCAUUUAUCGUGGCCAGCACAGUUUCGCCUAAGUUGGCAGCCUUCGCUUACCACAGUGAGUCAUGCAGGGAGUGAUGGUGACUCUUGGCUGUCAGUUUGACUGAUCUGGAAUCUACUAAGAGAUAUGCCACUGGGUACAUCUGUAAAGGACUUUCUUGGCUGGGUUACAUGAAAUGGAAGACUUACCUUAAAUGUGGGUAACAUCUUUAAGGACAGCAGAAGAGACUUGCUGUUUGCUUGUCUUCCCAGUGCCUUCUUAUGUUUCUGGUCAAGUUCAUUCACCCUGUUUGUAUUUUGCUGUCUAGUUUAUCUACCCUGUUGUUGUUGCUACCACCACAACUACUGCUUCCAUUCUUGGUUGUAUCAGAACCGGGGUUCUUUAGGCUCUCCAGGAACCCUUCAAGCCUUCAGUGCCAGCCACAUCCAGCCUCAUAAGCUGCGCAGGAACUGGGUUCUCAGCCUCUCCAGCCACUUUUUGAUUGGCCACUAUAUCAUGUAGGACAUCGUAAUGAAUCCUUCCUUUGUAAAGUACUCAUUCUGUCGGUUCUGUUCCUCUAGAGAGACCUGGCUAGUACUAGGGGAAGACGGAAUAAACGCCAUCAUCCUAUGCUAUGCUCCUCCCUGAUGUGCUAGCGUCAGGUACAAAGCUUCCUUCAUAGAAGAGACCAUUUUUCUCCCACUGUCCGGGGAAUUUCAAGGUAUUGGCAUUCUCAUAUGGACUUGAGAGAUAGUCAUACCUAAGAAUUUGGUACCAUAAGCACCUUUGGUUUCAUUUCUGGGAUGGGUUGCCGUGGCCAAGGACUAGAAAGUUUCCUUCUGCAUAAUUAUUAACAACGACUCUCCUGCCGUACUUGAAAGACUAAAAUGGAAGCCAGAGGAGAUUUCCAUUUCACCGGUGUCCGUGAUUCUCAACAAUCAAUUCCCACAGAUUUGAUUUCCAGGAAUGGCUGUUGUAAGUUACCAGAGGAUGAAUAAGGUUUCUACCUUUUCUUCCAGUUUUACGGGCAGAAGUGCAAUGUAUUAGCUCUAUUGUGAGCUAGAAAAGUUAUAUAAAGCAACAGUCAUGAAAAGUUUAAUUGAGAAGAAAUAAAAAAAUUUAAUUUUGUAGGUUGUAGAUGAUACAUUUAUAAAAAUAAAUAUAUCAGUGUUCUGAUUCCUGAGUUUUAUUAAAUAUUAUUUUUCCA